GCCUCCGUAGCUUAGUAGCUUGAGCAGCUGACUUGUAAUCAGCAGGUCGGGGGUGCAAUUCCCUCCGGAGGCU
rnacentral:tRNA from 1 species